rnacentral:tmRNA from 1 species
GGGGCUGACUGGAUUUGACAGCGGGCAGAAGUUGUAUGUAAGCAUGCAGUGCACUGGUGGCCAGCACUUUAAUCUUGGAGACCAAAAAUUUAACUGGCGAAGAAAAUUACGCUCUUGCUGCUUAAUCGAAUCAUAGUAGAUUAGCUUAAUCCCGGCACAAGGUGCUGGGACGAGACUUCUCCCGGAUGCUACGCCCUGAAGCGGUCCGAUACGGAGGAGCAGGAAAAUCGGGGAUAGUCAACAUAGGCCUUGAUGUGUUGAUGAAGUUUUAAAGGAUAAGGUUGCGGUUGGUGGCUUCGGUCUUGCUGCAGCACGAAAAUUUAGGCGAAGAUAAGCAUGUAGAAAGCAUAUUAGUUCCUCGUUUGGACGAGGGUUCGAUUCCCUCCAGCUCCACAG